rnacentral:rRNA from 1 species
AUUGAGCGCUGGCGGCAGGCCUAACACAUGCAAGUCGAACGGUAACAGGAAGAAGCUUGCUUCUUUGCUGACGAGUGGCGGACGGGUGAGUAAUGUCUGGGAAACUGCCUGAUGGAGGGGGAUAACUACUGGAAACGGUAGCUAAUACCGCAUAACGUCGCAAGACCAAAGAGGGGGACCUUCGGGCCUCUUGCCAUCAGAUGUGCCCAGAUGGGAUUAGCUAGUAGGUGGGGUAACGGCUCACCUAGGCGACGAUCCCUAGCUGGUCUGAGAGGAUGACCAGCCACACUGGAACUGAGACACGGUCCAGACUCCUACGGGAGGCAGCAGUGGGGAAUAUUGCACAAUGGGCGCAAGCCUGAUGCAGCCAUGCCGCGUGUAUGAAGAAGGCCUUCGGGUUGUAAAGUACUUUCAGCGGGGAGGAAGGUGUUGUGGUUAAUAACCGCAGCAAUUGACGUUACCCGCAGAAGAAGCACCGGCUAACUCCGUGCCAGCCGCCGCCGUAA